UUCAGCUCUGGAGCCCUUGAAAUUGAGCUGCACCCCACAACUCUGUCUGUGCUGGGGCCAUCUUGGUGAACUGGCAGUUGUUCCCAGGCUCCCAGCUCUUUCCUGCCCAUCAUGCACCAUUUAGAAUCUGAUCUUUGGGCACCACCUUCUUAGCUAUCCCAUCCUCUGCCCCACGAGGAGGGGUCUCCCUUCCUCAGUCAGAUGUUUUGGCUUCUGUGAUGCAGAAUCAUGAGAACGGAGAGAAGACGAUUAAAGUCUGGACUCACCAGCAAGCCAGAGUUUCAAGGGACCCUGCUGGAGAUCACAGAGUCAAGGGCAGCUGUGACACCUGGCCCGACGCCUUUGCAGCUGCCAUCUCUGCGUCUUCUCAAAGGUAAUUUAUUUUCACAGGAAGAAAAAAAGAACUAAAUUAUAGGAACAAACAGUCCCUGUUGCCUGGAAAGUGCUGGGGCUCUGGAGUGAAUAAAUACUCCUGAA
ensembl:lincRNA